UAGCCUAAUGGUUAAGGCUAUGGAUUGCCAAUCCGGAGACGGCGGGUUCGAGUCCUGU
rnacentral:tRNA from 1 species